GCGAUCGGGUUUCAAAAUGGCGUCGUGGGUAGUGGAGCGAGUUCCAUCUCAUCAUUUGCUAAACGGUGAGAUUCAACUCCUCUGACUUUUCACGCGUCAAACUCAACGGAAUCGUCGUC
rnacentral:precursor_RNA from 10 species